GACGAACGCUGGCGGCGUGCCUAAUACAUGCAAGUCGAGCGAAUCAAAGGGAGCUUGCUCCCUGAGGUUAGCGGCGGACGGGUGAGUAACACGUGGGCAACCUGCCUAUAAGACUGGGAUAACUUCGGGAAACCGGAGCUAAUACCGGAUAAUUCAUAUCUACUCAUGUAGGUAUGCUGAAAGACGGUUUACGCUGUCACUUAUAGAUGGGCCCGCGGCGCAUUAGCUAGUUGGUGAGGUAACGGGUCACCAAG
rnacentral:rRNA from 1 species